rnacentral:lncRNA from 1 species
AGUUGGUCCGAGCUGCCGAAAGGUCUGGUCGCAGAGACAGGAACGUGUAAUCCUCAGCGUGCUCCAGCCCACAGCUUCGCUCUACUGCUCGGCAGGGCAGCUGGCCUCUGGGCACCGGCGGCCCCUCUGCCUCGCGGAAAAGCCUGAUGAAGUCCUCCGAUAUUGAUCAGGAUUUAUUCACAGACAGUUACUGCAAGGUGUGCAGUGCACAGCUGAUCUCCGAAUCGCAGCGUGUGGCCCACUACGAGGGUCCAGAAUUCUUGAGGAAGGGGAAUUUCAUUAGACAUACUAAGCCAAAAGAAGAUGUCACACUGAAGAAGGUGGCUGUGUGAAUUCUGACCCAGUCGAAAACAUGCAAGCAAAGUCCGACUGUAUUACAUGCUUCACCCCAGGGAUGGAGGGUGUCCUGCCAAGAGGCUCCGGUCAGAAAAUGGAAGUGAUGCCGACAUGGUGGAUAAGAACAAGUGCUGCACACUCUGCAACAUGUCAUUCACUUCAGCGGUGGUGGCCGAUUCCCAUUAUCAAGGCAAAAUCCACGCCAAGAGGUUAAAACUCUUGCUAGGA